rnacentral:rRNA from 1 species
AGAGUUUGAUCAUGGCUCAGAAUCAACGCUGGCGGCGCGCUUAACACAUGCAAGUCGCACGAGAAAGUGGAGCAAUCCAUGAGUACAGUGGCGUACGGGUGAGUAACACGUGGAUCAUCUACCUCUUAGUGGGGAAUAACCCUGGGAAACCGGGGCUAAUACCGCAUAAGCUCGAGAGAGGAAAGCAGCAAUGCGCUGAGAGAGGAGUCCGCGGCCGAUUAGCUAGUUGGUAGGGUAAAAGCCUACCAAGGCAAAGAUCGGUAGCCGGCCUGAGAGGGCACACGGCCACACUGGCACUGAAACACGGGCCAGACUCCUACGGGAGGCAGCAGUGGGGAAUCUUGCACAAUGGGGGAAACCCUGAUGCAGCGACGCCGCGUGAGCGAUGAAGCCCUUCGGGGUGUAAAGCUCUUUCGGCAGGGACGAUCAUGACGGUACCUGCAGAAGCAGCUGCGGCUAACUACGUGCCAGCAGCCGCGGUAAUACGUAGGCAGCGAGCGUUGUUCGGAGUUACUGGGCGUAAAGGGUGUGUAGGCGGUUGCUUAAGUUUGGUGUGAAAUCUCCCGGCUCAACUGGGAGGGUGCGCCGAAUACUGAGUGACUCGAGUGCGGGAGAGGAGAGUGGAAUUCCUGGUGUAGCGGUGAAAUGCGUAGAUAUCAGGAGGAACACCGGCGGUGUAGACGGCUCUCUGGACCGUAACUGACGCUGAGACACGAAAGCGUGGGUAGCAAACAGGAUUAGAUACCCUGGUAGUCCACGCCCUAAACGAUGCAUAUUUGGUGUGGGUCAUUCAGUUGAUCCGUGCCGGAGCUAACGCGUUAAAUAUGCCGCCUGGGGAGUACAGUCGCAAGGCUGAACUCAAAGGAAUUGACGGGGCCCGCACAAGCGGUGGAGCAUGUGGUUCAAUUCGACGCAACGCGAAGAACCUUACCUGGGCUCGAACGGCUGGUUACCGCGU